rnacentral:rRNA from 1 species
GACGAACGCUGGCGGCGUGCUUAACACAUGCAAGUCGAACGGAAAGGCCCUGCUUUUGUGGGGUGCUCGAGUGGCGAACGGGUGAGUAACACGUGAGUAACCUGCCCUUGACUUUGGGAUAACUUCAGGAAACUGGGGCUAAUACCGGAUAGGAGCUCCUGCUGCAUGGUGGGGGUUGGAAAGUUUCGGCGGUUGGGGAUGGACUCGCGGCUUAUCAGCUUGUUGGUGGGGUAGUGGCUUACCAAGGCUUUGACGGGUAGCCGGCCUGAGAGGGUGACCGGCCACAUGGGGACUGAGAUACGGCCCAGACUCCUACGGGAGGCAGCAGUGGGGAAUAUUGCACAAGGGGCGGAAGCCUGAUGCAGCAACGCCGCGUGCGGGAGGACGGCCUUCGGGUUGUAAACCGCUUUCGCCUGUGACGAAGCGUGAGUGACGGUAAUGGGUAAAGAAGCACCGGCUAACUACGU